GCGGGGGUAGCCAAGCCAGGUAUGGCGGCAGGUUGCUAACCUGUUGGCCCUUCGGGCCUCAGGGGUUCAAAUCCCCUCCCCCGCGCCA
rnacentral:tRNA from 2 species